UACGGAGGUGGCAAGCGUUAUUCGGAAUUAUUGGGCGUAAAGCGUGCGUAGGUGGUUUCUUAAGUCUGAUGUGAAAGCCCAUGGCUCAACCAUGGAGGGUCAUUGGAAACUGAGAGGCUUGAGUACGAAAGAGGAGAGUGGAAUUCCACGUGUAGCGGUGAAAUGCGUAGAGAUGUGGAGGAACACCAGUGGCGAAGGCGACUCUCUGGUUCGAUACUGACACUGAGGUACGAAAGUGUGGGGAGCAAACAGG
rnacentral:rRNA from 1 species